rnacentral:rRNA from 1 species
GACGAACGCUGGCGGCGUGCUUAACACACGCCAGUCGUACGGUAAGGCCCUUUCGGGGGUCCACGAGUGGCGAACGGGUGAGUAACACGUGAGUAACCUGCCCACAACUUUGGGAUAACGCUAGGAAACUGGUGCUAAUACUGGAUAUGUGCUCCUGCUGCAUGGUGGGGGUUGGAAAGCUCCGGCGGUUGUGGAUGGACUCGCGGCCUAUCAGCUUGUUGGUGGGGUAGUGGCCUACCAAGGCGGCGACGGGUAGCCGGCCUGAGAGGGUGACCGGCCACAUUGGGACUGAGAUACGGCCCAGACUCCUACGGGAGGCAGCAGUGGGGAAUAUUGCACAAUGGGCGCAAGCCUGAUGCAGCAACGCCGCGUGCGGGAUGACGGCCUUCGGGUUGUAAACCGCUUUCAGCAGGGACGAAGCUUUUUGUGACGGUACCUGCAGAAGAAGCACCGGCUAACUACGUG